GCCCAGAUGACCAUCGGUGGUCCGGUGUGCAGGCUUCAAACCUGUAGGCGACUAGCGUCGCAGUGGUUCAAUUCCACCUUCUGGGCG